rnacentral:sRNA from 1 species
GCUGGGCGUGGUGGUGCAUGCCUGUAAUUCCAGCUACUCAGGAGGCUGAGGCAGGAGAAAUGCUUGAACCCAGGAGGCGGAGGUUGCAGUGAGCCGAGAUUGCGCCAUUGCACUCCAGGCUGGCGACAGGGCGAAACUCCAUCUUAAAAAUUUAAUUAAUUAAUUUAAAAAAAGAUUUUUCUUCCUUUUUUUUUUAAGAUGAAGUUUUGCUCUUGUUGCCCAGGCUGGAGUGCAAUGGUGUGAUCUUGGCUCACCGCAACCUCCGCCUCCCGGUUUCAAGCAAUUCUCCUGCCUCAG